rnacentral:rRNA from 1 species
UACGAAGGGGGCUAGCGUUGUUCGGAAUCACUGGGCGUAAAGCGCACGCAGGCGGAUUGAUAAGUCAGGGGUGAAAUCCCGGAGCUCAACUUCGGAAUUGCCUUUGAUACUGUCAAUCUCGAGUCCGGGAGAGGUGAGUGGAAUUCCCGGUGUAGCAGUGAAAUGCGUAGAGAUCGGGAGGAACAUCAGUUGCGAAGGCGGCUCUCUGGACCAGCACUGACACUGAGGCACGAAAGCGUGGGGAGCAAACAGG